rnacentral:snoRNA from 1 species
GUCGACGUACUUCAUAGGAUCAUUUCUAUAGGUUUCGUCUCUUCUUGACUCUUCUAAAGAGCCACUGAUUCCAACUUGGUUGAUGAGAUAGAACCCCCAUACCCUCAAAGUGAGAUUAAUGAGGCUGCACUUGUGCAGCUUUAUAGUGAACCAUCAUUACAGUUUUGCCUACGAUUCUUAGCAAUCUAGUCACCUGGAUGGUUUGCGAUCCCAAACUUUCACUUUUUAUUCCUUUUUUCAUCAGGUAAAUAAAGGAGCAAUGAUCUUUGUCCCUGUGUAUGGACUUCUUCGGAAGUGAUACGUUGGGAUGGGAAUGGGUGGCAGUCUGACAAGU